AAUGAACGCUGGCGGCAUGCCUAACACAUGCAAGUCGAACGAGACCUUCGGGUCUAGUGGCGCACGGGUGCGUAACGCGUGGGAAUCUGCCCUUGGGUUCGGAAUAACUCGCCGAAAGGCGUGCUAAUACCGGAUGAUGACGUAAGUCCAAAGAUUUAUCGCCCAAGGAUGAGCCCGCGUAGGAUUAGCUAGUUGGUGGGGUAAAGGCCCACCAAGGCGACGAUCCUUAGCUGGUCUGAGAGGAUGAUCAGCCACACUGGGACUGAGACACGGCACAGACUCCUACGGGAGGCAGCAGUGGGGAAUAUUGGACAAUGGGCGAAAGCCUGAUCCAGCAAUGCCGCGUGAGUGAUGAAGGCCUUAGGGUUGUAAAGCUCUUUUACCCGGGAUGAUAAUGACAGUACCGGGAGAAUAAGCCCCGGCUAACUCCGUGCCAGCCGCCGCGGUAA
rnacentral:rRNA from 1 species